GUGAAACUAACUGAUUCCUUCGGGAUGACGUUAGUGGAUCUAGCGGCGGACGGGUGAGUAACACGUGGGCAACCUACCUAUAAGAUCGGGAUAACACGCGGAAACGCGUGCUAAUACCGGAUGAUACUUUCUACCGCAUGGUGGAAAGAUGAAAGACGGUUCUGCUGUCACUUAUAGAUGGGCCCGCGGCGCAUUAGCUAGUUGGUGGGGUAAAAGCCUACCAAGGCGAGGAUGAGUAGCCGACCUGAGAGGGUGAUCGGCCACACUGGGACUGAGAUCUCGGCCCAGAGACCUACGGGAGGCAGCAGUCGAUC
rnacentral:sRNA from 1 species